CUUGUGAGGUGGUGCCCAUCGAGCUUCUUAAGUCUUCGGGCUAUGAUGUAGUCGGAGGUUACACAUGGUACUUCUUCAGAUUGUAGGCGCUCCACUACUUUUUGAUCUUUUUAUCGUUUCAUGGUAGCGGGGGUAUAAUUACUCUUACCGCCUAUUCUGCUGAGCUUGUACGGACCUUCCCAGAUGAGAUCCAUAUUUUUGGAUGUUUCGGCCUGCCUAUUGCCUUGAGGAUAUCUCGGCAUAGACAUAUGCUGCUUGAUGCCAUAUUUUUUGAAGAACUUAACCAAAUCUUUGCCCACGAAUUGCAGGCCAUUGUUGGUGACGAUGGAUUAAGGGAUGCCAAAUCGGUAAAUGAUGUUCCUCCAUAUGAAG
rnacentral:lncRNA from 1 species